GGAGAGGGCUAGCGAUAUUCGGAAUUAUUGGGCGUAAAGGGCGCGUAGGCGGAUUAGUAAGUUAAAUGUGAAAUCCCAAGGCUCAACCUUGGAAUUGCUUUUAAAACUGCUAAUCUAGAGAUUGAAAGAGGAUAGAGGAAUUCCUAGUGUAGAGGUGAAAUUCGUAAAUAUUAGGAGGAACACCAGUGGCGAAGGCGUCUAUCUGGUUCAAAUCUGACGCUGAGGCGCGAAGGCGUGGGGAGCAAACAGGAUUAGAUACCCUGGUAGUCCACGCUGUAAACGAUGAAUGUUAAAUAUGGGGAGUUUACUUUCUGUAUUACAGCUAACGCGUUAAACAUUCCGCCUGGGGACUACGGUCGCAAGAUUAAAACUCAAAGGAAUUGACGGGGACCCGCACAAGCGGUGGAGCAUGUGGUUUAAUUCGAUGCAACGCGAAAAACCUUACCACUCCUUGACAUGGAAAUUAUACCUAUUCGAAGGGAUAGGGUCGGUUCGGCCGGGUUUCACACAGGUGU
rnacentral:rRNA from 1 species